AGUUCGGCGGUGCCGUGGCUCGGAGGCGCUUUGGAGGCGUUGAUGGCAUCGCUGGGUUCGGUUUGCAGCGGGUGUCCGCUAAGGGAUACGGUGUUCUUCCUGAGUGGGCACGGUUCUCGGUGCCGGUAGGGAUGAUAAUGGUUUGUUUUGGAUUGAGUUUUGUAGUCGGAUAUAUAUUUUUUUGCCGGGGUAUUAUGUUUAGAAGGGCGCGCAAUGUUUUUUACGGGUCGUAGCGCGAAGCAGCGGUUCGCAUUUUAAUUCUGUUGCGGUGGCUUUUAUUAGCGUGAGUGUGUAGUGUUUGUUUUGGGGGGCUUGGGGAAGCGUCCUGUCCUUCAUAGCAGCGGGUUUUUAAUCUCGAUAAUUGCAUGUGUGUUUAUCGUCUUCCAGGGCUUUUAUUUGUUUGGUUUGUUUGAUUGUAGUGUAUGUUUUAUGGUUACGGGUAAUUUGGGGGACAUUGUUUAUGGUUACGUUUGUCUUUAGUCUUUGUGUUUGUUUCUAGGUGGUAUUUUUAUUUUGAUAGCUUGAGGCACUAUGGGUUUAUUCAGUUGGGAAUAAGUUUUUUGUUGCAGAUUUCAGUUUAUUUGGUUUUUGGUAUUAUUCUUGUUGUUGCUUUCUUUAUUUUCUUUUUUUGUUGUUGUUGUUGUUGUCUUUUAAUGUAUUUGCGUAUUGUUUAUCAGGGUUUUUUUUGGGUAUUUAUAUGGUGGGUUUUUAAAGUAUUUAUUUAUUUGGGUAGUUAAUUUCUUAGUUUUUAGUGGUUGAGAUGUUUUUCCAUUUUGUUAAUUAGUUCAGGUUUUAAAGUUAUUUUUACAGAGGAUUGUUUAUUCCUUGAGUUAGUGUAGAGGUAGAAUUUUGUUGUUUUUUAUUUUUUUUUAGUAACGUCGUUCAGGGUGAGUGGCACUGUCUUGAGUUUAGUAGAUUGGUUUGACUUUUUUUUAGUACUUUUUGUAAUUUGCUGUGUGUGUUUCUAUAGGAUUUUCUUUUAUUUUGGUUCCAUUUUUCUGUCGUGAUGAGAAUUGUUAUUGAAAAGAGUGUUCUUUGUUUUUUCGCUGACACUUGUUUGGCUGUUGGAGGUAUCUUGAUGUUUUUGGAAGAUAUUGGUGGGAAUUUGAUGCUGUUUGUUCUGUCAUUUCAUUUAGGAAUUGGAUUUUAAAUAUACAAUUAUGACUCUAACUGUAUUGAAACAAAAGAAAUAGAUGUGUAGCAAUGGGAAUGAGCCAAUUUUAUUUUUAUAUAUUCGGUCAAUUUCUAAAAUUUAACAUGUAACAUGAGUCAUUAUAUGUUACAAUAAGUUAUUCUAAUUUUAAUAGAGUAUUGUGUAUGUUUAUAGAUAUAUGAAUAGAGAAUAUAAAUGUAAAUACAACCCAAACAAAAAUACAAAUAUAUAAAUGUAUUGCAACUAUAUGCAGAUAUAUAAAAAAUUAAUAAUAAAUUGUAAAUAUAAAAUAACAUAAAUUGAUACAAUAUAUAAUACAAGUGAUACUGCAUAUAUUUUAUGAAAAAUAUUAUAGGAAAUGGAUAUAAAAUAGAUAUAAAUACGGAUGUGAUAUAUCUAUCUAUCUAUCUCUAUCUAUCAUUUGUUGUAUAUUAUGAUAAAUACAAAUAUAAAAAAACAUUUAGGUAGUUUAAAAUAAUGGAUGGUUUUGUUUUUUCUUUGCCAAAGCAGGGGUUUUCGUGUAAAAAUUACAAAUACAAAUAAUAUAAAGGUAGAAAUAUGAGUAUAGAAAUAUAUCAUAAACACGUUAAAGAUUUAUAUAAAAAUUAGAAAUAUAAGGAAAAAUAAGUUGUAGCAGUAGAUAUGGUAAAUAAUUUAAAAAAUAUUUCCCGUAUAUUUUUUGAAUAAGGUGCAUAUUAUAUAUAGUUAUUAAUAUAAUACAUCAAUAUAAACGAUAAAUAUAUAUAAAAUGUCAACUAUCUAUAAGAAGGAAUAAAAGCUCUGUGUCACGUGCAGCAGUAGAAAAUUUCAGGCUCCCAGGGAAUAAAUAGUUUUCUUUAAAUCAUUUUCGUUUUGGAUUUUUUUUUUUACUCCCGGGUAGCCUGAAAGUUUCUACUGCUGCUUUUUUAUUCUAAAGGUGGAAAGGAAAACCAAGAUCAGAAAUACAAGAAAGGGGAAGGGGAAGGGAAGGAAGGGAAGCAGGAGAGGAAGAGGGAAGGGAAGUGGUGAAAAACAGGGUGAAAAAAGUAAAAAGAGUUGGAGGGAAAAAGAGAGGGCAUCCGGGAAGAGCGGUGCUGCCUCAGGUCCUUCCCCGCCCUGGGGCGAAGGAGCCGUUUGAUGCCCAGGAGGGAGUGCAGGUCCCGGUGGCUCCCGGGGGACGGAGCGGUGGCUGUCAGCCCGAGACUCCAACUCCCGGCAGGCCGUGCUGCCGGCGCGGCGUGUGACGCAACGGCUAUCGCGGCACAUGAGUGGCUGUCAGCCCGAGACUCCAACUCCCGGCAGGCCCUGCUGCUGGCGCGGCGUGUGACGCAACGGGCGACGCGGCCCGGCAUUUUUCUCUAAAUCGGCAGUAAAUACAGCUGAGUAAAAUUAGCUUGGUUUUCUUCCUUCUUUUGUAACUGAACUGUUUUUAUUAAAAAUCCUAUUUGAAUAUGUAGAAAAAGUGGGGAUGUCCUGUAAUAUAUCGUAGCUUUUCUUGUUUACAGGGUACUGAGAAAAUACGUCUCCCUUAGAGUACCGCGGAAAGGUUCUCAGUGCGAUCUCUAUCAAGUGCUAUGAGUCUUGAUAAAUUGGAGAAGAGCCCAAGAGAAAUUUUUCAUCCCUUGAUAUAAAAGGAUUUAUUGGUUCUGGAAGAACAAGAGGGAAGUACAAGCCUAACUACUUCUAGCUCACAGGCCCGUCCAGUGAACCCAGGUUUGUGUUUUGGUGGGCUUGUGAUGACUUUGAAAUCAAUUGCUCAUUCCAGUAAAAAAAAUUCAUGUUUUUUUGAACGUGACAGCAGAAAUAACUUUAGGCACCAACUGAAUAAUAAUAGAUCACCAGUUUAAGUUAAAAAUUCAUGCUAUACUAUCAAAAUUUAAAGGUAAAUUAUUAUGUAUUAGGUGAUGGUAUAAAGUGUAUGUUCUAAUGUGUAAUGCAAAGAUACAUACGUACCUGAAAGUCCUUAGCGGAAACAAAUUUUUAUGUCUGCUGUUUGAUUGUUUACCAUACGAUAUUUGGUUUCAUUUCCCAGGGA